AACGAACGCUGGCGGCAUGCCUAACACAUGCAAGUCGAACGAGAUCUUCGGGUCUAGUGGCGCACGGGUGCGUAACGCGUGGGAAUCUGCCCUUUGGUUCGGAAUAACAGUUGGAAACGACUGCUAAUACCGGAUGAUGACGAAAGUCCAAAGAUUUAUCGCCAGAGGAUGAGCCCGCGUAGGAUUAGCUAGUUGGCGUGGUAAAGGCGCACCAAGGCGACGAUCCUUAGCUGGUCUGAGAGGAUGAUGAGCCACUCUGGGACUGAGACACGGCCCAGACUCCUACGGAAGGCAGCAGUGAGGAAUAUUAGACAAUGGGCGAAUGCCUGAUCCAGCAAUGCCGCGUGAGUGAUGAAGGCCUUAGGGUUGUAAAGCUCUUUUACCCGGGAUGAUAAUGACAGUACCGGGAGAAUAAGCUCCGGAUAACUCCGUGCCAGCAGCCGCAGUAA
rnacentral:rRNA from 1 species